rnacentral:rRNA from 1 species
GACGAACGCUGGCGGCGUGCCUAAUACAUGCAAGUUGAGCGAUGAAGAUUGGUGCUUGCCCCAAUUUGAAGAGCAGCGAACGGGUGAGUAACGCGUGGGGAAUCUGCCUUUGAGCGGGGGACAACAUUUGGAAACGAAUGCUAAUACCGCAUAACAACUUUAAACAUAAGUUUUAAGUUUGAAAGAUGCAAUUGCAUCACUCAAAGAUGAUCCCGCGUUGUAUUAGCUAGUUGGUGAGGUAAAGGCUCACCAAGGCGAUGAUACAUAGCCGACCUGAGAGGGUGAUCGGCCACAUUGGGACUGGGACACGGCCCAAACUCCUACGGGAGGCAGCAGGAGGGAAUCUUCGGCAAUGGACGAAAGUCUGACCGAGCAACGCCGCGUGAGUGAAGAAGGGUUUCGGAUCGUAAAACUCUGUUGGUAGAGAAGAACGUUGGUGAGAGUGGAAAGCUCAUGAAGUGACGGUAACUACACAGAAAGGGACGGCUAACUACGUG